rnacentral:lncRNA from 10 species
CCCGGGCCAGGCUGAGUCACGGGUUCGCCAAGACAGCCCACAGACUAAGCACAUUUCUUCUCUUUUCCGGUCCAUAAAAUCCCCAGAAUGGGCCCCACACAGAAACAUUGAGGAUGCCAUUGGAAUUAGUGUCAAAAGUGACUUCAAUCUGAGGAACACCUCGGGGUGCAGGAGAGAGCCCCACCUGGAAGACUCUAGGUUCUCAUCUUCAUGCCCCGAUGUAAGGAGAGUGGUCCUUCUGUACAUCAGGAGUCUGAAAUGCAUCUCACUGGGCUAAAAUCAAGAUCUGUGGCACAUGGAACCACAUGUGGGACAAGAGACUAAUAAAGAUGUGACCUACUCACAGAGGCUUCAGGUGUUUUGCGAAGUACAUUGGCUUUUAUUCAACGUGCAGUGGGACUCCAACUAAAGUGUUUCAGGAAGACAACCUACAUGACAUGUUUUUCCUAAAGACAAUGCCUCCACUCCGAGUAAGUCACAGUCAAAGUAAAUGAAGAGCCCAAGAUGACAUCAGUUCCAUUUGUCGCACGGCCCUUUUGUGAUCUCCUGGUUCUUGUAAAUCUCACUGUGGCUGAUGAGGUCUGGAUAGAUAAUCAUGAUGGUGGCUGAAGAGAGACAAUGGUGGUGCUAGGUUACCAGUGGCGUGGAGCUCAGAGCUAAUGCAGAGCAGCUGGAGCAGUGCUGAGUUUCAAAACGUGUUGGAAAAAAUAUUAUAUGAAUGAUGCUAUUUUUUUCACUGAAUCACAUCAAGAAGCACAUGAUGUUAAGCUGUCUCAUCAUUGGUGGUGUUAACUUGGAUCGCUUGAUUAAGCCCGAGAACUACUCACUCUGGGUCUCCUCUCCACUGAGGGCUGCACACAUGCCGGGAUGACCUGCCUGUGGAAAGGAGCUACAACUUCAGGUCUCCUGAGAGCUGUAGGUAGGUUAGUUUUGCAUCGUUGAUUUAAGCAAUUUUCUAUGUAUGGGCGUUUACAUGGUAUCCAAUAAUUUGUUAUAUAACACAUAAUAUCCCAAUGCAUGAAGGCACAAAUAUGUAUUUUCUUGCUGUUGGUGGUGUAUGUUGGGGGUGAAUUCCUAAAGUGAUAUUGUUUGGUCAAAAGUUAAAUGUAUAUGUAGUUUUGGGUUACUAUUGGUAACUUUCCUUCCAUAGGAUUUGUACCAUUUUGCUUUCCCAUUAGCAAUGUGUAGGAAUGCCUGUUUCCCUGUAGCCUCCCCAACAGCUUGUGUUAUCAAGAUUUUGGAUAUUUAACAAACUUGAAGAGCCAGAUUACAAAUUACCCCACAUUUUCUUCUAAUGCAUGUGAUGGCAGCAGCGGCCAAAUAGAGUAGCUGCUGCAAAGGUGCUAGCUGCAGUGGGGUAUGCAUGACUGGGACGGCUAACUCCGCGGAGCUGGCAGGAGCUGGGAACAGGCGGGAGCUCCACCCCCUUCCAAGUGGGUGGGGCAUGAGCUUUGUGCUUCUGGGUGCAACUGCAGCUGCCCAGCCACGACUGCGGACCCAGGCAUCCCUGUGGUCUUGGGGGCCCAGGAAGUCUCCCUGCCCCCGCAGGCUCAGAAGGGCCUCCUCCUGCUGCCUGGCCUCUCUCCACUCCCAGCAUCCACUCUGAUUUUGGAGGAAAGUUGUGGCCGAGCUCGGGCUCUGUCACGACCCGGCUGGGUGUGCGCACACUCAAGGCAGCACUGACAUGCCAGCCCCUUGCCGCCUCGGCCCCACUCCGUAAUUGGGACACUGACAAACAUGGGAGGGAGGUCAAGAGGGGGCUGAGGGCGGCUUUGUGUGAGCCUGCAGGCACCCCUUGGCACGAACAGCCUGGGCACCAUGAAUGGCAGCAGUAGGCAGACAGGCUCCUGGGCAGAAAGGGGCACGUCCCUGGUGAAACCCCACCUUCAAGCCAGGGAGGGCCUGAAGCCUGGGGGCUGGGCUGCCAGUUGCACAGACCAGAGUGAGAACUUAUGGUGCUUUUUCUGGGCCCGCCCAUGGCCACCCGUAGACCAAUCAGCACACUCUUCCUCCCCUGUGAAACCCAUAAAAACCCUCAGAGUCACCCAGAAUUGGACAGAUGACAAGACAACCGGACUGCAGGGAGGAGCUACCCAUUCAAGGUCUCCUCUCCAAUGAGGGUUGCAGAGAUGUUGGGGCAAUUUGCCUGCAGAUAGGAGCUACCCACUUGGGAUCUCCUCUCUGCCGAGGACUACACACUUGAUGGGAUGACCUGCUUGUGGAGAAGAGCUACCCACUGUGGGUCUCCUCUCAGCUGAGGGUUGCACAGAUGCCCAGACCACAUGCCUGUGGAAAGGGGAUACCCACUUUGGGUCUCCUGAGAGCUGUACUGCCACUCAAUAAAGCACUGCUUCACCUUGCUCACCCUCCAGUUGUCUGCAUACCUCAUUUUUCCUGGAUAUGGGACAAGAACUUGGGACCAGACAGACAAAUGGCAGGACUAAAAGAGCUGUAACACAAACAGGGCUGUAACCCCCACCCCAACACCACUGGCCACAUUGUGGGUGACGAGAAGGAAAGAAGUAGAGAAGAGCUGCAGUUCUUUGGGGAUUGCAAACCUAGGAGCUCCCUGAGCCAGGGCUGUGAAACCUUCUUUAGGGCUCUGCAUUUCCGGGCAUCAUCUCCAAGCUUCCAGGUGCCACCGCAUUCCCUGGUUCCUGAGGCAGAAGCUACUUGUGAUACACUUGGUCUAGCUACAGCCUUGCAGGGAGCCGGAGCCUGUGCCAGUGCCUGGAGCUGCCCACCCCACCACAGCCAGCGUGCCUGGCCGUGCGCGGUGGCCGGACCCCACUUUUGCUUCUUCACACACCCCUCACCACUCUGCGCUUGGCCCAACCUUGGCAGGCAUGGGAUCCGGGUGGUAGCGAAAGCCGAGUGCAGCCUGUCAGGCCCACUGGGUGGAACAGGCUCAGCAGGCCCAAGCAAAACUUGGGCAAAGGUGCCACUGGCCAUAGAGGUUGCUGGCUGGUGAAGCAACACCCUAAGGAACCUGGGAAACAUGUAUGGCUACAUUUAUAUUUUACACUCAGAAUUCUAAUUCAUUUGGAUUUUUUUUUUUUUCUGUGUAGAGGGAAAAGUGUGAAUCCAUUUUUAUCAUUAUCUAAAUGACUGUUCAGUUGUUCCAACAUGCUUUGAUAAAAUGUCCAUAUUUGUCUCUGUGAUUUGAAAUGACUACCUUUAUCGUGUAGUAAAUUUUACUAUGUUCUUGGCUGUUGUAUUUUCUAUUAUAUUCCACUGGUCUGUUAUUUCUUUACCAGUAUAAAUAACAUGGAUUCAAUUGCAGAAACUUUAUAGUAUGUUUUAAAAUCUGGUGGCACUAUUCCUUUCCUGUUGCUCUUAUUUUUAUGGGUUGUCCUACGUGUUCAUGCAUAUUAUUUUUCACAUGAACAACUCCACAAUAGUUGGAGAAAAAAAAUCUUCCUGGUAUUUUAUUAGAGUUGCAUUAAAUUUAUGCAUAAACUAAGAGAUAAGAGAGACAUAACAUCUUGUUGACAUUGACACAUCAUAAUCAAGAACAAGCAAUGUCAUUUCAUUUUUGCACAUCUUCCUUUUUGUCUUCCAGGAGAUGCUAAUCAUUUUCCUUAUAUAGUUUUUAAAUCGUCUUCCCUUAGUAUUACGUAGAUUGUCAUUAUUUUAAAGGCUAAUUCUGACAGCUUCAUUAUUUGGCAUCUUUGUAUUGUGCAUAUUUUUUCUUGAUUUUAGAUCAUUUGAUCUUGAGUCCUAGUGUGUUGGUUA